rnacentral:lncRNA from 1 species
AAUACUUAGAAUGCACUCAUUCAUGGAUCCUUUCCUCCAUCCAUCCCUCAUCCACCAGGGCCCUGGGGGCACACAAACGUGCAUCGGAUGAUUCUGUGUCUCCUAAAGGAUCAGAGCCUUCGUUCUCCUGUCUUUGUUCCAGCGGAGUGCAGGAGCCUGCUCCUCCUCUGAGCAGGUGUCGCUGAAGCAGCCCCAACACAGACAGGCCUCAUGGAUGUGCCCAGUUCUGGGGACAUCUGUCUGCCGCUCACAUGUAGGGGCCUCAACUGCGGACCUACCAGUCUAAUAAGCACGAGACUGAGAAGACCUUUGCCACAAGUAAGCAGAGCAGAGAAAAAGGUAAAAUGACAGAAUCAGCUCUACCCAUUUUUGAAGAAACAAAUAAGCCAAACUCUUUACCACUUCUGUUGGGAUCCAGGAGCAUUUGGUCCUCACAAGGCUGAUGGCACAGGCCACGGUGUUGGACGGUCUGUUCUCUCCUCACCCUUAUCUGCCUGCAGAACACAACGACCAAGUUUGUGUCAUGCCAUGAUCUUGGGGGCAUCGGGGGAGAAGGCUGGACACCGGCCUGGACCAUGCGUUGUGCCCGCAUACUCCUCCAAGCCGAGCUGUCAUUCUUCAUUCUUUGCCCAAAUCCCUCUUCCUGCAGCGAGCUCCUGCCUCAGGCAAAGAACCCGCCCCCAGAACUUGUCACUCUGUUGUCACCAGGGGUACUGACUCACCAGGAUGUCCCAGCAUCUCAUAUUUAAUGGUCCCAAGGUGUCACUGGAAACCAAGAGCUGAGAAUCAUCAUCAGCUGGAAAGAAAAGCAGAAGGAUCGUGAGGGAGCCCUCUGUUCAUACUUGAAUCAAGAUAACGGCUCGGCCAACAGUUCUUUCUGCCGUCUGAAAGACACAGCCUGCAUAGGUUUCCGGGAAUUCACGCUGACGGAUGGCAUGCUUCUAGGGGAUGCUGAUGUGUUCCUGGCAGAGGGAUGGAUGACGAGGAGACAGGGACUGGAUUCUCCAGGGUCAAAGUCAAGCUGGGAGGGAGCAGACCCAGUCCCAGGCGAUGAGACAGUGGACCUGACUACUCUGCCUGAGGCUGAUGCUGGGGCCAGGAGCAGCCCGCUCCCCAGGAAUCGGGAAAUGCAAACACUCGGCAGCCCAGACCUCCUGAAGGAGAAACUGGAGGGCUGAGGGCAGGUGUGUGGGCCCCUUUUCCAGAUUGCCUGUGGCUGGCAGGGAGGGAGAGAACAGAC